GAUGAACGCUGGCGGCGUGCCUAAUACAUGCAAGUCGAGCGAAUGGAUUGAGAGCUUGCUCUUAUGAAGUUAGCGGCGGACGGGUGAGUAACACGUGAGUAACCUGCCCAUAAGACUGGGAUAACUCCGGGAAACCGGGGCUAAUACCGGCUAACAUUUUGAACCGCAUGGUUCGAAAUUGAAAGGCGGCUUCGGCUGUCACUUAUGGAUGGGCCGGCGUCGCAUUAGCUAGUUGGGGAGGUAACGGCUCACCAAGGCAACGAUGCGUAGCCGACCUGCGAGGGUGAUCGGCCACACUGGGACUGAGACACGGCCCAGACUCCUACGGGAGGCAGCAGUAGGGAAUCUUCCGCAAUGGACGAAAGUCUGACGGAGCAACGCCGCGUGAGUGAUGAAGGCUUUCGGGUCGUAAAACUCUGUUGUUAGGGAAGAACAAGUGCUAGUUGAAUAAGCUGGCACCUUGACGGUACCUAACCAGAAAGCCACGGCUAACUACGUGCCAGCCGCCGCAGUAA
rnacentral:rRNA from 1 species